rnacentral:rRNA from 1 species
UGGCGGACGGGUGAGUAAUGUCUGGGAAACUGCCUGAUGGAGGGGGAUAACUACUGGAAACGGUAGCUAAUACCGCAUAACGUCGCAAGACCAAAGAGGGGACCUUCGGGCCCCUUGCCAUCGGAUGUGCCCAGAUGGGAUUAGCUAGUAGGUGGGGUAACGGCUCACCUAGGCGACGAUCCCUAGCUGGUCUGAGAGGAUGACCAGCCACACUGGAACUGAGACACGGUCCAG